UUUCCGGCUUGCAAAGAAAUUUCCGAGGUUUAAGCCUCCACUUCCCUUUCCUGGAGUAAGCACACAGUGACACAGAACCAAGGGCUGUGCCUUGGGCAGCACUGAAUCCCUGCCAUGGUCGCUUUGGUCAAAUGCUCCCUCCCACCCUGGCCCACGGACUCCUUCCCAGACACAGUUGUAGACUCUUGCCUUAGGACCUGGGAAGCCAGCCAAGGGACUGCUCCUGCGAGGUGCUCAGCAGCUACUGAGAACUGAAGAGCCACAUGGGAAGUGAUACCAGCAUGGAAGCCAGUCAGCCCCUCUGCUUUGCCAAAGCCAUCCUCUCCCUGUGGAACUAACUUGGAAUUAACAUUGGCUUUCAGUGUAACAGACAUUACUCCAGGCAUCAAGAAUUUCCUGUGGAGUAUCUGUGGAAACAAGGGGAUAACUGCCAGGAAAAGAAAAAAAAAAAGGUGUUUCUCUCUUUUCUACUUUUUAAAAAUUAAUUUAAUCCCUGAAAUGAAACCAAACAGUUCUUUUAACAAUGGCCGGUUAUGCUUUAGUUUCCUACUCCUAUCAAUAAAAAGAGAAGGGAAUGCAAAUAUUUUUUUCACAUACUUUUAAGCAAUACAGAUGAGGGAAAAUAUGGACAAU